AAAGAAGCAAAAAGAGUGGGAUCAUUUACCAUUAAUUAUAAUGAGUCGAGAAGCAAGAAAAACAUUACUAUAACAGACAUUUUGAUUCUUAAAGAGGAAACUUGUAAAAUGGAUUUGGCAGUAAUUGAAUGUAAAAAAUGGAGAGAUGGUACUUCUUCGUCAGAUCCUGAGGUAUUGCUUGAUGCAAUAAAUGUAACCAAAAAUGAAGAUAUUCAGCCUGACACCAAAAUUCUGGUCUUGUCGAGUGAUGGUGUAAAGGGCUGCGGCCAAUUUUGUGUUGCCUACAACGCUCUAGACCAAAUCUCCCUUGAUAGAGAAGUCGAUGUAUUCACUAGUACACGACUGUUACAAAUUAG